rnacentral:rRNA from 1 species
UUAGGAGAGCGUUCUAAGGGCAUCGAAGCCAGAUCGUGAGGACUGGUGGAGCGCUUAGAAGUGAAAAUGCCGGUAUGAGUAGCGCAAGACGGGUGAGAAUCCCGUCCACCGAAUAACUAAGGUUUCCUGGGGAAGGCUCGUCCUCCCAGGGUUAGUCGGGACCUAAGCUGAGGCCGAUAGGCGUAGGUGAUGGACAACAGGUUGAUAUUCCUGUACCAGUUGCUUUUGUUUGAGCGAUGGAGGGACGCAGGAGGCUAAGGAAUGCACACGAUCGGAAAUGUGUGUCCAAGCAGCAAGUCUGAGAACGAGUGAAAUGCUUUUUCUCUCAAGGACAAGCUGUGAUGGGGAGCGAAAUUUAGUAGCGAAGUUCCUGAUGUCACACUGCCAAGAAAAGCUUCUAGUGAGAAAGUAACUGCCCGUACCGCAAACCGACACAGGUAGUUGAGGAGAGAAUCCUAAGGUGUGCGAGAGAACUCUCGUUAAGGAACUCGGCAAAAUGACCCCGUAACUUCGGGAGAAGGGGUGCUGACCGCAAGGUCAGCCGCAGUGAAUAGGCCCAAGCGACUGUUUAUCAAAAACACAGGUCUCUGCAAAAUCGAAAGAUGACGUAUAGGGGCUGACGCCUGCCCGGUGCUGGAAGGUUAAGAGGAGAGGUUAGCGCAAGCGAAGCUUUGAAUUGAAGCCCCAGUAAACGGCGGCCGUAACGAUAACGGUCCUAAGGUAGCGAAAUUCCUUGUCGGGUAAGUUCCGACCCGCACGAAAGGCGUAACGAUUUGGGCACUGUCUCAACGAGAGACUCGGUGAAAUUAUAGUACCAGUGAAGAUGCUGGUUACCCGAGACAGGACGGAAGACCCCAUGGAGCUUUACUGCAGUUUGAUAUUGCGUGUUUGUAUCACAUGUACAGGAUAGGUAGGAGCCGAAGAUACCGGGACGCCAGUCUCGGAGGAGGCAACGGUGGGAUACUACCCUUGUGAUAUGACCACUCUAACCCGCUGCUCUUAGCGAGCAGGGAGACAGUGUCAGACGGGCAGUUUGACUGGGGCGGUCGCCUCCAAAAAUGUAACGGAGGCGCCCAAAGGUUCCCUCAGAAUGGUUGGAAAUCAUUCGUAGAGUGUAAAGGCAGAAGGGAGCUUGACUGCGAGACCUACAAGUCGAGCAGGGACGAAAGUCGGGCUUAGUGAUCCGGUGGUUCCGCAUGGAAGGGCCAUCGCUCAACGGAUAAAAGCUACCCUGGGGAUAACAGGCUUAUCUCCCCCAAGAGUUCACAUCGACGGGGAGGUUUGGCACCUCGAUGUCGGCUCAUCGCAUCCUGGGGCUGUAGUCGGUCCCAAGGGUUGGGCUGUUCGCCCAUUAAAGCGGUACGCGAGCUGGGUUCAGAACGUCGUGAGACAGUUCGGUCCCUAUCCGUCGCGGGCGUUGGAAAUUUGAGAGGAGCUGUCCUUAGUACGAGAGGACCGGGAUGGACACACCGCUGGUGUACCAGUUGUUCUGCCAAGAGCAUCGCUGGGUAGCUAUGUGUGGACGGGAUAAACGCUGAAAGCAUCUAAGCGUGAAGCCCCCCUCAAGAUGAGAUUUCCCAUCACUUUAAGUGAGUAAGACCCCUGAGAGAUGAUCAGGUAGAUAGGUUGGGAGUGGAAGUACAGCGAUGUAUGGAGCGGACCAAUACUAAUCGGUCGAGGACUUAAUC